rnacentral:lncRNA from 1 species
AUAAAAGGGGAAUUUACCUUCAUGUUGACGCUGGUUUAGUCCUCGGUCGCUUCGUCGGGAUCAGAGCUCGGGCGAGGACGGUGGGGCGAGGACUGACGGAGCCCCCUGAGCGGCGCGAAAGCUAGGGCCAGAAACCCUAGUAGAGAGCUUAGGCCUUUUUUCUUUUAUUUUUUUUGGUUAUGCAAAUGUUUUUUUAACGAAAACUUAGUUUAAAUAGCAACGCAAUACGACGCCGUUUAGAGGCUUGCGACCCGCGCGGUGACCCGACCCGGGGAGGAUCCGCGCAUUCUGACUUAUUGGUUUAUUUGCGCUGAG